UACGUAGGGUGCAAGCGUUGUCCGGAAUUAUUGGGCGUAAAGAGCUCGUAGGCGGUUCGUCACGUCGGCUGUGAAAACCUGAGGCUCAACCUCAGGCCUGCAGUCGAUACGGGCGGACUUGAGUACUGCAGGGGAGACUGGAAUUCCUGGUGUAGCGGUGAAAUGCGCAGAUAUCAGGAGGAACACCGAUGGCGAAGGCAGGUCUCUGGGCAUUAACUGACGCUGAGGAGCGAAAGCAUGGGGGAGCGAACAGG
rnacentral:rRNA from 1 species